AGUGAACGCUGGCGGUAGGCCUAACACAUGCAAGUCGAACGGCAGCACAGUAAGGGCUUGCUCUUACGGGUGGCGAGUGGCGGACGGGUGAGGAAUACAUCGGAAUCUACUUUUUCUUGGGGGAUAACGUAGGGAAACUUACGCUAAUACCGCAUACGACCUACGGGUGAAAUCAGGGGAUCUUCGGACCUUGCGCGAUUGAAUGAGCCGAUGUCGGAUUAGUUAGUUGGCGGGGUAAAGGCCCACCAAGGCGACGAUCCGUAGCUGGUCUGAGAGGAUGAUCAGCCACACUGGAAAUGAGACACGGUCCAGACUCCAACGGGAGGCAGCAGUGGGGGAUAUUGGACAAUGGGCGCAAGCCUGAUCCAGCCAUACCGCGUGGGUGAAGAAGGCCUUCGGGUUGUAAAGCCCUUUUGUUGGGAAAGAAAAGCAGCAGGUUAAUACCCCGCUGUUCUGACGGUACCCAAAGAAUAAGCACCGGCGAAAUUCGUGC
rnacentral:rRNA from 1 species